rnacentral:rRNA from 1 species
AAAUUGAAGAGUUUGAUCAUGGCUCAGAUUGAACGCUGGCGGCAGGCCUAACACAUGCAAGUCGAGCGGAAACGAGUUAUCAGAACCUUCGGGGGACGAUAACGGCGUCGAGCGGCGGACGGGUGAGUAAUGCCUAGGAAAUUGCCCUGGUGUGGGGGAUAACCAUUGGAAACGAUGGCUAAUACCGCAUGAUGCCUACGGGCCAAAGAGGGGGACCUUCGG